rnacentral:rRNA from 1 species
AGAGUUUGAUCCUGGCUCAGGAUGAACGCUGGCGGCGUGCCUAACACAUGCAAGUCGAGCGAUUCUCUUCGGAGAAGAGCGGCGGACGGGUGAGUAACGCGUGGGUAACCUGCCCUGUACACACGGAUAACAUACCGAAAGGUAUGCUAAUACGAGAUAAUAUGCUUUUAUCGCAUGGUAGAAGUAUCAAAGCUCCGGCGGUACAGGAUGGACCCGCGUCUGAUUAGCUAGUUGGUAAGGUAACGGCUUACCAAGGCGACGAUCAGUAGCCGACCUGAGAGGACGACCAGCCACACUGGGACUGAGACACGGCCCAGACUCCUACGGGAGGCAGCAGUGGGGAAUUUUGGACAAUGGGGGCAACCCUGAUCCAGCCAUCCCGCGUGUGCGAUGAAGGCCUUCGGGUUGUAAAGCACUUUUGGCAGGGAAGAAAAGGCGCUGGCUAAUACCUGGCGCUGCUGACGGUACCUGCAGAAUAAGCACCGGCUAACUACGUGCCAGCAGCCGCGGUAAUACGUAGGGUGCAAGCGUUAAUCGGAAUUACUGGGCGUAAAGCGUGCGCAGGCGGUUCGGCAAGAAGGAUGUGAAAUCCCGGGGCUUAACCUCGGAACUGCAUUCUUAACUGCCGGGCUAGAGUAUGUCAGAGGGGGGUAGAAUUCCGCGUGUAGCAGUGAAAUGCGUAGAUAUGCGGAGGAAUACCGAUGGCGAAGGCAGCCCCCUGGGAUAUACUGACGCUCAUGCACGAAAGCGUGGUAGCAAA